UUUCUAUGUUCUAGUUCAAGUUAGCUUCCGGAACUUGUGGGCUCAAGCUAUUGAGCAUAUGGGUAUGGUGUAGUUUAAGAGGGUGUUUAUGCAUUGGACUUGAAUUUGGAUUACUUGGAGCUUUGUUGGUGACAAGGCUUGCUUUGGGGCUAUUUGAUUGAGCUUGGAGGGGCUGUGAUUUUGUGUUGAGAGGCUGCCUUGGGUGAAUUAAGUGAUCAGCCAAGAUGCAGGUCGAGAGGCUCCUUGCUAGGCGUCUGGAUCCUGGAAAGCGAAGUAGUCCUUGGGUGUAUUUUGGUUUCUAUUUGUAUAGAUGUAUAUAUAUGUGUAGCUUACUCUCCAAGUAACUUAUGUACGCU